UAGGGAAUAUUGGACAAUGGGCGCAAGCCUGAUCCAGCAACGCCGCGUGAAUGAUGAAGGCCUUAGGGUUGUAAAAUUCUUUCGCCAGGGAAGAUAAUGACUGUACCUGGUAAAGAAGCCCCGGCUAACUCCGUGCCAGCAGCCGCGGUAAUACGGAGGGGGCUAGCGUUGUUCGGAAUUACUGGGCGUAAAGCGUGCGUAGGCGGAUCAGCAAGUUAGGGGUGAAAUCCCGGGGCUCAACCCCGGAACUGCCUCUAAAACUGCUGGUCUUGAGUUCUGGAGAGGUAAGUGGAAUUCCUAGUGUAGAGGUGAAAUUCGUAGAUAUUAGGAGGAACACCAGAGGCGAAGGCGGCUUACUGGACAGAUACUGACGCUGAGGCACGAAAGUGUGGGGAGCAAACAGGAUUAGAUACCCCGGUAGUCC
rnacentral:rRNA from 1 species